UACGUAGGUGGCAAGCGUUGUCCGGAUUUACUGGGCGUAAAGAGCGCGCAGGCGGUCGAAUAAGUCGAAUGUGAAAGCCCCCGGCUUAACUGGGGAGGGUCAUUCGAUACUGCUCGACUUGAAGGCAGGAGAGGGUAGUGGAAUUCCCGGUGUAGUGGUGAAAUGCGUAGAUAUCGGGAAGAACACCGGUGGCGAAGGCGGCUUGCUGGGCCGUAGCUGACGCUGAGGCGCGAAAGCGUGGGGAGCAAACAGG
rnacentral:rRNA from 1 species